CCUACGGGUGGCAGCAGUGGGGAAUAUUGGACAAUGGGGGGAACCCUGAUCCAGCGACGCCGCGUGAGUGAAGAAGUAUUUCGGUAUGUAAAGCUCUAUCAGCAGGGAAGAAAGAAAUGACGGUACCUGACUAAGAAGCCCCGGCUAACUACGUGCCAGCAGCAGCGGUAAUACGUAGGGGGCAAGCGUUAUCCGGAUUUACUGGGUGUAAAGGGGGCGUAGACGGCGAUGCAAGUCUGAAGUGAAAGGCGGGGGCCUAACCCCCGGACUGCUUUUGAAACUGUAUGGCUGGAGUGCAGGAGAGGUAAGUGGAAUUCCUAGUGUAGCGGUGAAAUGCGUAGAUAUUAGGAGGAACACCAGUUGCGAAGGCGGCUUACUGGACUGUAACUGACGUUGAGGCUCGAAAGCGUGGGGAGCAAACAGGAUUAGAUACCCCUGUAGUC
rnacentral:rRNA from 1 species